UCCAGCGGUGAGCUCCGCGGUCCUGCGGCUGGGGGCGCAGCGCGGCGCCGACCGGUGGGCGUGCCCAGGCCCUCCGAGCGCUGCGGCCGUUGGGAAGCGGGGUGCGCGCGCUACGAUUUGAGGUCCUGGCGGGUUCCUGUCUGCUACCUCCGUGCCGGGGGGCGCACAGCGCCCGGAGAAGAGCGAAGCCAGGUUGACAGGCUGGAGUCCCGAGGGUCCCAAUGUUGGUAGGGCCACCCCCAAGGCGGGCCGGGAGAGGACAGGGUCUGGGGCGCUGUGUCCAGGGCUCCCGGCGCCUGGGACUAGGAUACUGUGGAUAGUACUGCUAUGAACAGGCAUACAGGCAUUUGUUUGAAUACCUGUAUUAAUUUACUUUGUGUACAUAUGCUGGAUUGGAAUGCUGGGUGCUGAGUCCAUUGGCAAUGCCACACUGAACUUUUCUGAGGAACUGCCAGCCUGUUUCCCACAGCUAUACCACCAUUGAACAUUGCUCUCAGCAAGUUCACCAAGGGCAUCUUCUAAUCAGCCCCUGGCACUGGUCAAGCACAGAGCUGUACCCUCCAGGGUCUGGGCUGUCAGGCAGCAGGUGUGCAGUGCUGCUUCAUCCCUGUCAGCCUGGACGGAGGUCAACAGCAACAUGGACAAGAGCACCCUGGUGAUCUCUACGGGUGGGGUGGUCCCCUCACUUGGACCUCUCCUGAAUAGUUACUUAGACAAGUAACCAGUCCUGGCCCUUCCAGACAGCACAUCUCAUCCUGGGGGGCAGACAGCUACCACAGCCCUCCACUGUACAUGGGGACACUGAGGCAGGUCUGUUCUCAACCCUGAGGAGCUCUUUGGGACCCAUGCUUUGGUGGAGGUGGAUAACUAUGUGCUCUACUCAGCUUUCAGAUACUGAUAAGACUACCUGGAUUGUAUUUCCUGCCCACCCUCUACCUGCUGUGACCUCUGACCCCUUGUCUGGCAUUCAGAGCUCUGUGUGGCCUGGUCCUUUUGGCCUCCCAGUCUAGCCUCCACUUCAGCCUCCCUAGAGCCUUCCUAACCCAGAAGCCCUGCAAACCCUGGCCCACCUCACAGCUCCCUGCCUGCCUUUCCCCAUUACCUGCCUCCCCACUGCCCCAGUUGUCCCACUGCUCAAACUGUGAUGGACUCACCUCUAAGACUGGGCUCAGGGGCCAGCUCCUUGGGCCUCUGUUAACACCACAACCUUUCGGGUCAAAAUGACCUGGAGCCAAGCCUCAGUUCCACCUUGCUCACUUAUAGCUGAGGGACCUUGAGCUCUGGCACCACUGCCCAUCUACAAAAUGGAGUGAAUUCAUUGAGCAUGGGGGGCAAUAUUCCCUCAUAACAGUGAUUACCCUCACCAUUCACUCUGCUUUCAUUGUGGGGCCACCUCCUCCCAGGGCUCCUUCCUGUCCCAUUACACUAUGAGACAGGCUGGAACUCGUGUCUUGGGGUCCUGCCAUAGAGAACAGGGAGGGGAGCAUCAAGAAGGGCAAAGGGGUGGCCUGAGUUUCUCCCUGCCUGGACUCAGUGUCCACUGCUGCCUCCAGGACCCUCUGACCCAGCCAUUCACAGAGCUGGCUUGUGGGGUAUAGUUUGGGGAGGUCAGUGGGAUGGGGGUAUUCCAGGACUCUCAUGUCCAUAGGGCUUUGGCCCACCUGGCAGGAGUGGGGCGACACAGUGGUUCCAGUGGUCAUGGGGUAUCAGAGCAGUGGCUUCUGAAGUGGUACAGACAGGAAUGGGAACCGUUGGUACAUUGUGCAUGACAUGAGGCAGCAUGUCAUGCACAUACUGUCCGCAGCCCAUGUACUCCCCCAUGAAUAUGAGGCUGGCUGCUCCACUUGGAGACCACAUGUGGAGGGAGGACAUGUGCCCCCUGACCCCCACCCAGGGGCCAGGUCCAUGUUGAGCUUGGCUCACAAGGUUCCAUCUCCAACCCUCAUGCUACAGUCCUGAAAUUGAGGCCAGGAGAGGUGGGGGCUGGCCCAGGCUGUGAGGUGGGUGUCCAGACGGGAAAGGAGGGCUCCAGCCUCCUAGUCCAGGGCUCAACCAUCUAGUGGGGCUGCUCUGGGAAUGACAGCCCCUAAGAUCCUGGGGACCCCUGCCCACUCUUCCUAUGUGGGGCUGUUUCUUCUAGGCAUGCCCAUGUGCACACAAACUACACAUUCUAACUACACCUCUAUGUUUAGUAUGCAGAGAACUUUUUUGAAGUAGAUGAGAAACUUAGCAGUGUUACCUGUGGAAUGGAGCAAUAAGGUAUUAGGUAUAAAAACAUUUUGGAUGUUGUGAUUUUUACAAUACACAAAUUAUCUUAAUUUCCAGAAAUAGCUCAUAAAUUGCAGCAAUGCGAGAAAAAAUAUUUUUAUAUUUCUUUGAGUAGGCCAGAAAGGUAGGGCUAAUGUGUUUUUAUAGACAUCUUUUAAAAAAUAAUUGUUUUAUUGUUGAUUAUUUAUAGACAGAAAAAAUAAACAAAUUGUAAAUCAAUCCCUAUUUAGAAUGUGUUUCACCUAAGCUUGGGCAAUAUUUUGUGAUUCUGUAGAGAUGGACUUAUUUAUUUAGGAAAUACAAAUGAGGAAAAAUAACUAUAAGAAGUUACCUAUUAAUCGUAGACUUCAAUUUGGUUCUCCUGCCCUCUAAUGGUCAUUUCUCAAACUGCAGACAAAGCCAUAUUAAGGUGAAACAUUUUUAAAUAUUAAAAUACAACUCAAGUGUGCCAAUCAUGCCUCAAAUUUUGGAGAUUUGAAGAACCUCAGGAAUGUUCUCAGCUUCCUCAUUUUAACUUUGCAGCAUAACCACUAUAUCUCAAUUAUAUACUCUCUUGUGAUUACAGACAAAAUUGAAUUUUGGCCUCUCCUAUUUGACUUAGUAAAUUAUGCAGUUACAGUAAUUUUCUGUAAAAUUUUUACAUUGUAUAAUCUUAGUCCUCAA